rnacentral:lncRNA from 1 species
CUCUGAUUUUUUCUCUCCACUUGAUUUUAUGAAAUUGAUGAAGAAACCUCGAUCCUAUCACUUCGAAUCCAAUUUGAUCUGAUAGUCAAACUUUGGAUCAUUUAGGUCCUAAUUAGAUUUUGAUUAGAUAAAAUUAGAUGAUCGGACCCAAUCUAAAUCGUUGAAAUAUGGUAUUCGUAUUCUUUCUAAUUAUUGAAAUUGAUUCUGUAUAGGAUUGUGAAUGUUUGAUCAUGGGAUAUCG